CAAUAGCGUAUAUUAAAGCUGUUGCGGUUAAAAAGCUCGUAGUUGGAUUUCUGUCAAGGACAACUGGUCCGCCCUCCGGGUGAGCACAUAGUUUGGUCUUGACAUCUUGCUGGAAGCUGUUGCUGCACUUGGCUGUGUGGCGCAGUGUUCAGCACUUUCACUUUGAGGAAAUUGGAGUGUUUCAAGCAGGCACAUGCCUUUGGACACAGUAGCAUGGAAUAAUUAGAUUGGGCUUUUGCUCCAAUUUGUCGGUUUCUGGAGCUGAGGUGAGUAUUAAUGGGGAUUGUUGGGGGCAUCCGAAUUUAGCCGUCAGAGGUGAAAUUCUUGGAUCUGCUAAAGACGGACAACUGCGAAAGCGUCUGCCAAGGAUGUUUUCAUUAA
rnacentral:rRNA from 1 species